rnacentral:rRNA from 1 species
GACGAACGCUGGCGGCGUGCUUAACACAUGCAAGUCGAACGAAGUGGCGAACGGGUGCGUAAUACGUGGGUAACCUGCCCUCCUUUUUGGGAUACGCCUUGGAAACGGGGUGUAAUCCCGAAUAAUGGGGGAUGGGCUCGCGGACUAUCAGCUUGUUGGUGGGGUGGUGGCCUACCAAGGCGGUGACUGGUAGCCGGCCUGAGAGGGUGCAAGGCCACAUUGGGACUGGGAUACGGCCCAGACUCCUACGGGAGGCAGCAGUGGGGGAUAUGGCACAAUGGGCGAAAGCCUGAUGCAGCGACGCCGCGUGGGGGAUGACGGCCUUCGGGUUGUAAACCGCUUUCAGCCAUGACGCGGUAGUGGCAGAAGAAGCACCGGCUAACUACGUGCCAGCAGCCGCGGUAAUAC